CUCUGCAUAGGUUGCCCUGGGUAGUCUAAGCCUGAAAGUAUGUAUUUUUUAUGCUUGGUUUAUUCUGGUACAUAUGGAAACAUUUUUGGUAAGUUUUGGGUUCCCUCUUGCAGUUCGAAGCUAAAUCUGCAUUCUAACGGGAUUUACUGUCAACAAAUCAGGAGAGCAUAUCUGGAAGCAUAUUAACGGCAAACGUUUCCACAAUGUGCUAGGGAGAAAGUGGAAACUGGACACAGUAUAACAAAUGGAGCAAUGGAGAAACAGGAUGAUGGUCAAAAGGCAGAGAAGAAAUCAAAGGUUAAGGAUGAUGGAUUGAAGAAAGAGAAGAAGAUUCGGGAAGAGACUGUUGUUGAAGUUGUCUCAGAAGCAAGAAUUGUUUCUGAGAAGGACAGUGAGUCAGAGGAAGAAGACGAUUUCUGGAUGCCACCAGUGGGACAAUGAUGAUGGAGGUGAUAGGCAGGGCUCUGAUCCAGAGCUGGGGCCAGAAAAUGAUGAUGCUGAGGGGGAAGGAACUGAAGAUGAUAAGCAGGAAGCGGUGGAGCUUACUAAAUGGUCGGUCUGUGUUCCUUACACUACUCUAUGCAUAUUCUCUCUCCCUUAUGUGGCAGAGUCUGUAUAUUGGAGAAAGGUCCACAAUCUCCAAUAUACAGAGAU